UGUAGAGAGAGCGAGAGGAUCGAGCCCUGGGCGUGCUGCUGACCGUGUACAGAGGGGGACCGCACAGGCCCGGUACCUGCUCCUGCUCUUCACAAGCCUGGGGCUGCAUACCACCGGAAGUCAGGCUCAUAUCACCGGAAGUCAGGCUCAUAUCACCGGAAGUCAGGCUGCCGUUUGCCACGCUGACGCCGCACACGGGGAUGCCCCCAUCACUGUCUAGGUGACAUCGUUCUCAGAUCAGGAAGAGAGAUGGACCACGGACCCAAAGUCAUUCAACUGGACAGCAAUGGAGAUGGGUCAAGCACCAGACCCUACUUCUUCCCAAGGAGAGCUCAGUGGCUGUGCAGCACCACCUGUGGAUGGAGGAGGAACGGCCAGCGAGUGGAUGAGGAAGAGCAUGACCUUCGCAGCCACCAGCCCCCACCUCCUUUGGUCACCCCAUGACCAUGAGCAUCAUGAAGAACAUCUCCAUGUCUCAGACAGCUCAUCUUUACAAUGUAAGGCUUGCAACAAAAAGCUAGCACCAGCAGUGAACACCACGUCCCCUCUUCCCAGGCUUUGUGUAUGCCUGAAGACAUUCUUGGGGCCCUAGAAUAUGACUGGAGACCUUUUAUACAUUGACAGUUCCAAAAAGCCAGCGAUAGCACGAGGAUCAAGGACACAGCCCUGGGACGAGCAGUGAUACAGUGUGGCUCCCUAGAUCACAGGACAGAGUAAACACCUUUCUCUGUGCUUGGAACCAUUGUGCAGUCUAAAACUAACCACACCCCAAGAUGCCAGGCCCACAACUGGGUGACCAUCUGCGAUGUCGGGAAAGCAUGCUGGCUCGUGGUCAGCGGUCCUGGGUUCAAGUGUCCGCUCUGCCACCUCUACCCAAUCACCUCGGACCCAUGUUGUACCAGAAAACCUCGAUUAACCAGAAGAAGAGUGUGUUUUCUGAAGACCUGACUUUUUGGCUAAUGGAACAUUUAUUUUAUUGUUUAUUAUGUGCGAUGCAGGGAACCGGCAAACGAUGUGGAACAGGCCUUAUGUCCUAUUUAAAAUCAAGUAAACUGGAGGAUCUCUGUGAGGCUCCAUGCCCAAGGACACAUGACUGGGAAGAACAGAGCUGGUAGUUGAGCCAGGAAGCCCUGCCCCAUGGUCCAAGUGCCAAACGGCUUCACUGGGCUUUACCUAACAUGCUUCAUUUUUUAAAAAGAAUUAUUUUAUUUAAUUUUAUUUGUUUUAAUUUGACCA